AACAGAAAUGAGCAUGUUGCAAUCACUUAAUAAUGUCUCCCUUGCAAGUUCCAUUCUUGUUUCGACUUUGGCAUCACCAUUUACAUUAGCCAUGCAUUUGCUAAAUUUGCCAAAGCUUUAUAAUCUUUUUGCAGGUUGGUUCUUUAGAUCCUGGCAAACUCAUAAAAAUACUCAAAUCAUCAAUACCCAGUCUUGUGCUAUUUCAGUUCUUAGAAAGACAUUGAAAACUAAGAUAACUCUGAAAUGGGCAUUAGCACUGGUCAAGUGACUCAAACCCAAGACUGGUGAAUGCAACUGCAAUAGCUUGGCUAUUGCAUUCAGUGAAUUGGUUUUCUCUUUAGGUAGACUUUUGCACUAAUAACUUCAUAUAUGUUUUUCUGUAUCCUUAUCAGAUUUUACAAGUUUUAAAGAACUGUCUAACUUUUAAGUGGGAGCAGAAAAUCAGGAUUUUGAUGUCUACAUUUGACAUGAAGGAUGAAUCCAAGGAAGUGAUUUGGCAAGGUGAGAUUGGUGGAGUAUAUGCGGCUUUGGAUACAUUCAAGGCUGAAAAGGCAUUUCCUAUGUGCAAACUCACACGUUUGUUGCGUGAUUCAUUGGGUGGGAGGACUAAGACAUGUAUAAUUGAUGUUGGUAGUGGGAGGAAUGCUAAUACUGGAAAGGAUAAUGGGGUCAAUCAAAGCACCGACAGAGGCCUUACAUCCACCUCUUCACCAGUUUCGCAGGACAUAGAAAAUAAGGCAACCAUUCCAACCAUGAGGUAAACUUCAUUUAUAGAUUUU